AUACUGCCUAGCUUCUCAGAAAGGAAAAUAAAAAUCUAAUUGAAGCUUAAAAGAGAUGAUUUAUAUCUCUCUUUAAAUUUCUCAAUAAACCUGCAACGCUGUAACAAAAUUCAGAAAUUGAUGAAUUCCAUUUUGCAGGUUCUUGUGAAGAGGUUUUGUGUGACUGAUGUGGUUCAUGCACCACGCAUACUAGCAGCUAGCUAUGUUUGGACUAUGCACUCCGGUUUUCUGGAAUCUUGUACUGAUUGAAAGUUAUUUUGGCCAAAGUUUUGCUUCUACAGCCAACAGCUUCCAACAAAAGUCAAAGAAAAAAGAAGUGUACUUUUUUUCUCCCAUCCUCUCUCCCCAAUGGUCCUACUCUGGCUGCUGGGAUGUUGCUGAUCAAGUAAUUUCUUUCUCCCAUUUUACAUAAGAUAUUUACAAAGAUAUAAUAGUAUAUUUUUCUUAUCCUUCUUGUUAUAUGCUUAACUGAAUUCAGCAGGUUAAUUUUAUUAUUCUUCUUAGAUGUUUGGUGCUCUUGAUUAGCAUUAAUGUGUAGUACUUAUAGAUGAGAAUGAAAGCUGGCUUGCAGUCAUUUUCUAAAGAGUUGUGUGCUGCGAAAUCGAGUGGAAAGAGCAUAAAUCAUCUGGCAAUGAAGCAGAUAAAGGAAAAGAAAAAAAAUUGCUGGUAAGUGAGGCUACCAAAAGAAGAUGAGCACUUCGUUCAACCUUGCUUAAAAGAAACAACUAAUGCCAUUUAAUUCCAAUAAGGUAGCAUUGAUCUUAGCAUUUUCUCUUUGUUGUAGUAAUCAAACAAUCAAAGAUGGGGCUGUAUGGGGGAGACUUGGCAUACGAUAGCUCGUUGGCAUCCUGCCACACUAGUCCUGAGGGCUUUUUGAGGGUAGACUAGAAAGAGUAAUAAUAGUUGAAGGAUGUGUUUUCUGUAUUUAUUCACUAACAUUAACUCAAAUAAAAAUCAAACAUUUUAUAGGAUUGC